UCCUGGUAAGCUAGUUGGUAGAGCGCUCCGCUGGAACCGGAGAGGACCCUGGUUCGAUAUCAGGACCAGACA
rnacentral:tRNA from 1 species